UGGGGAAUAUUGGACAAUGGGCGAAAGCCUGAUCCAGCAAUACCGCGUGUGUGAAGAAGGCCUUCGGGUUGUAAAGCACUUUAAGUUGGGAAGAAAAAACUUUACCUAAUACGUGAAGUCUUGACGGUACCGACAGAAUAAGCACCGGCUAACUCUGUGCCAGCAGCCGCGGUAAUACAGAGGGUGCUAGCGUUAAUCGGAUUUACUGGGCGUAAAGCGUGCGUAGGUGGUUUGAUAAGUCGGUUGUGAAAGCCCCGGGCUCAACCUGGGAAUGGCGGCCGAUACUGUCAGACUCGAAAACGGUAGAGGGAGGUGGAACUCCAGGUGUAGCGGUGAAAUGCGUAGAUAUCUGGAAGAACAUCGAUGGCGAAGGCAGCCUCCUGGGCCUGUUUUGACACUGAGGCACGAAAGCGUGGGUAGCAAACA
rnacentral:rRNA from 1 species